CAAUAGCGUAUAUUAAAGUUGUUGCGGUUAAAAAGCUCGUAGUUGGAUUUCUGCUGAGAACGACCGGUCCGCCCUUUGGGUGUGUAUCUGGCUCUUUCUUGGCAUCUUCUUGGUGAACGUUGCUGCACUUGACUGUGUGGAGCGCUACCCAGGACUUUUACUUUGAGGAAAUUAGAGUGUUUCAAGCAGGCAUACGCCUUGAAUACAUUAGCAUGGAAUAAUAAGAUAGGACCUCGGUUCUAUUUUGUUGGUUUCUAGAGCUGAGGUAAUGAUUAAUAGGGAUAGUUGGGGGCAUUCGUAUUUAACUGUCAGAGGUGAAAUUCUUGGAUUUGCUAAAGACGGACUACUGCGAAAGCAUUUGCCAAGGAUGUUUNCAUUGA
rnacentral:rRNA from 1 species